rnacentral:rRNA from 1 species
UACGUAGGGUGCAAGCGUUGUCCGGAAUUAUUGGGCGUAAAGAGCUCGUAGGCGGUUUGUUGCGUCGGCUGUGAAAUCCCGAGGCUCAACCUCGGGUCUGCAGUCGAUACGAGCAAACUAGAGUGUUGCAGGGGAGACUGGAAUUCCUGGUGUAGCGGUGAAAUGCGCAGAUAUCAGGAGGAACACCGGUGGCGAAGGCGGGUCUCUGGGCCGAUACUGACGCUGAGGAGCGAGAGCGUGGGGAGCGAACAGG